rnacentral:rRNA from 1 species
AUGUAUCAUGUUGCAGAUAUUUCUUGGACAAGUAAGAGUUACGAUACAGGGUUACGGUCUACGCUCAACUUCCCGAUGGCGUUGAUGGGACUCCACAUCCGAUUGUUUGUUUCCGCUGAGACUUAUGAGAUGAUGAAUGAAGUUGGACUGGUAUUCUCUGGACCGAAAACCCAGCCGGAGGCAGAGCUAUGGAUUCAGAACAUGGAGAAUCACUUAGGGAGCAAUUUGAUUUCAAGAAAGAAUGAAGUAUCGUACGCUCUUUGGUACUUGAAGGAAGUGCUGCAACAUGGUGGCAGAUGCAUCAAGCUAUACAUGGAUGGAAUGGAACAAGGACUUGGGAAGAAUUCAAGAAGACUCUGA